GCAUAUCAUCAAUUCUCUGAUAAGGACCAGUCCUUGCCAUGUCAUUGGCAGCUGGUACCAUGCAGUCAAUACAAAUGCCCUGGGUAUCACCUCCCUCCCCCUCACUAUCCUGUGAGUGUUCAUCAACUACUGUGUCUGUUUUCAAACAGUACAUAUUGUUAGGAUACGCUAUCGCAUUCUCAGAGCUUUCUACAGAAGAAAUAUUGGAUAGAGAUGAAGAUGAACUCCU
rnacentral:misc_RNA from 1 species